rnacentral:rRNA from 1 species
UCUUCUUCGGAAGAGAGCGGCGGACGGGUGAGUAACACGUAUCCAACCUGCCCUUUACUCGGGGAUAGCCUUUCGAAAGAAAGAUUAAUACCCGAUAGCAUAAUGAUUCCGCAUGGUUUCAUUAUUAAAGGAUUCCGGUAAAGGAUGGGGAUGCGUUCCAUUAGGUUGUUGGUGAGGUAACGGCUCACCAAGCCUUCGAUGGAUAGGGGUUCUGAGAGGAAGGUCCCCCACAUUGGAACUGAGACACGGUCCAA